rnacentral:rRNA from 1 species
GACGUAGGGUGCAAGCGUUGUCCGGAUUUAUUGGGCGUAAAGAGCUCGUAGGCGGCUUGUUGCGUCGACUGUGAAAACCCGCGGCUUAACCGCGGGCUUGCAGUUGAUACGGGCAGGCUAGAGUUCGGUAGGGGAGACUGGAAUUCCUGGUGUAGCGGUGAAAUGCGCAGAUAUCAGGAGGAAUACCGAUGGCGAAGGCAGGUCUCUGGGCUGAAACUGACGCUCAUGCACGAAAGCGUGGGGAGCAAACAGG